GCGGAGUGAUGAAGCUGUUUAUCCAUUCGCUGAGUGCUGCUCUUCCAUCCUUCCUGUGACAUCUGGAUUCCUGUUCUAGGUUCCUGGUGGUGUGCAGCUUCCAACCACUGUCCAGCGUUCUGUUGGCAGUUGCGUGUGUCGCUGCCUGCAGAAUGGAUGUGGAGCAAGUGGGACUGAGGCCCUUUUCGUUUGGUCCUUACUAAGACGAAUGACAUACUCUGACCGC